rnacentral:rRNA from 1 species
CAGCAGCCGCGGUAAUACCGGCGGCCCGAGUGGCGGCCACUAUUAUUGGGCUUAAAACGUCCGUAGCCGGGUUGGUUAGUCUCCCGGGAAAUCUGGCCGCUUAACGGUCAGAAUUCCGGGAGAUACUGCCAGCCUAGGGACCGGGAGAGGCCGAGGGUAUUCCCGGAGUAGGGGUGAAAUCCUAUAAUCCCGGGAGGACCACCUGUGGCGAAGGCGCUCGGCUGGAACGGGUCCGACGGUGAGGGACGAAGGCCAGGGGAGCAAACCGGAUUAGAUACCCGGGUAGUCCUGGCUGUAAACGAUGCGGACUUUGUGUCGGACAAGCUAUGAGCUUGUCCGGUGCCGGAGGGAAACCGUUAAGUCCGCCGCCUGGGGAGUACGGCCGCAAGGCUGAAACUUAAAGGAAUUGGCGGG